CCGGGCUGCGGGGCUGCGGGGCCGGGCGGUGCGCUCCCCGGGGCCCGCGCUCUCCCGGGUGCAGGCUGCUCGGCAAUCCGGCAGCGCCUCCUGCUCCGGCUCAGGCUCCGGCUCCGCUCGGCGGCGGCCGCGGCUGCCUGGGCGAGAUCAACAAGUCGGGCUGAGCUUCGGCUCGGCGCUCGCCGCGAUUCUGUCCCGCACUAGGAAAGCCGCGAGUCGGCACCGAGGCGGGACGGCGCCACCUGCGGGUCGGAAGCGCGCGCGGCUUAACCCCUCAGUGCCCGGCCCAGCCCAGGCCCACGGGGACUCGGGUGGAGCCUUGCCCACGGGGCUGCCUUCCCCCAGAUCCACCUUCCUGUCUACAGCAUGGCUGAGCGCCUACUGUGUGCUGAGCACCACAUACCACGUGUAUAGACAGUCGUCUGAGAUGCAGCUGGGAAUCAAAGAAACAUCCGCGGCCCCCGCAGGGUGCUAUUCUAAACUCGAGUUCUGGAACGGCAUUCUAGACUCCAAACGAAAGUGGACGGUAAACUCAUCAACUGCCAUGCAAGGGGGGAGGUGGUGGGCAACUGCCGAGAAGAAACUCAAGGCCAGGUUGGGAGGGGCAGUGAGGAGCCAGCACCUGCAUGGCCUGUCACUUGCAGCACAAACACAAGAACCAGAAUUUGGACCCCAGCAUCUGUGAGGUCCCACAAAUGCCUGUAACUCCAGCACUGAUUGGGUGACAGAGGCAGGAAGAUCACUGAGGCUUGUGGCUGCCAGCCUAGCUGAAAUGCAUGAACACCAGGUUACUGAAUGACCUGCCUCAAAACAACAAGACAGAGUAUGACAGAAGAGGACACCCAAUGCCUUCUUUUGGCCUCUGCACACAGGUAACAGACGGAACUGUCUUCAUCAAAAGAAGGAAUUAGGUGUGUAAGAAACAGAAAAGCCAAGUGUGGUGGCCUCGCCUGGGAUCCCAGCCCUGAAGAGGAGGAGGCAGAUCAGAAAUUCAGAGUCAGCUUUGGUUACAUAAGGAGCCAGGGAACUCGGAGACACAUCGAAAAGGAGUGAGUCAGCAAAAGGAGGCAACUGAAGCCACAGAGAUGGAAAGCUGAGGAACUGAGGCUAAGAUCAUCUUGCAAUGAGAAGGCAGCUCCCUGCCCUUCAGGCCUGGUGUCUCUCCUGCCUCCUCUCCUCUCAGCCACCCUUGGCCAGCGCUCCCUGGUUGCAUCCACCUCCCCUCCCUCCUCUCUUCUCAAUCCAGCCUCCCCUGAUGAGGGAGCAGACAGUGGAAGACACAAGUUUGAUGAGUGGCUUCCUUUUUCAUAGUCUUCACACUUGCUGUCCACACUAAAGAACAAGCUCUCAAGAUGAGGCCAGUUGGGUAGUGUUCCCGUUUGCCUCCUGGCAGCCAACCUCACCUCCAGACCCAGAGGCUCCCUCAUCAGAUCGUACAGAGCCAGUUCUUGAGCAAAGGCACUUUAAUAGACUCUAGCAUGCUUCCAUCUGGUGGUAUCUUGGGAAGACAGAACCAGAGAAGAGAAGCAGCUCUGGGCGUGUUACUCAGUCAUUGAUUCUAAGGUUCUUCUUGCUGGGUAUGUAGAUGCCACAGCAUCUACAGGAGUGGCCCCCUGCCAUGAGUGGCCCCCUACAGGAGUGGCCCCCUGCCACAGCAUCUACAGGAGUGGCCCCCUGCCAUGAGCACUUACCCCUCUUUUGGCCCCUCUCACCCCCUGUGGGUCAACUAAUGAGGAAGUUGAGGAGAGACAAAGCGCUCAGGCAACCUGGCUGCUUUCGGCCUGUCUGACUCAAGAACAGAGGCUCUGAGGUUCCAAGUCUUGACCUUAACUGCCCAGACCCGGUUUAUUCUCCACAGUUCUUUUCUGUGUGAGGUUGUGAGGAUACAGGCCCGCCCCUGUCAGCAGUGGGAACAGACUUAAGUGUUAAAGUGAAUCUGCUUAAAAGAGUAUUUGGUGAGCAACAAUUGACAGCACAGCAAAAAUAUCACCAUGGGACUGUACCAGAGACCCUUCAUUAGAUCACCAGAGGGCAGUGACGUGGUCCUGUGACACCGAGUCUCCAGCCAGGCAUGAAGAGCUACACUGAGGACAGGCAGGUGGCUAAUACCCUCAUCUCCCCUCUCAGAAGCAGCAUCUCUUCCUUUUCCUCCUCCCCCUUCCUCCCUUCCUCCUUUCCUGCCUUCCUCCCCUUCCGGAGUCUUAUGUAUCCCAGGCUGACCUUGAACCCACUAUGUAGCCAAGUAGGAAUGCUGCACCCCUUAUCUCCCAGCCUCUACCUCCCAAGUGCUGGGACUUACAGGCAUGUACACCAUUGUCCAAUUUAUGCAGCUCUGGGGAUGGAACUCGGGGCUUGUGCAUGCUAGGCAAGCACUCUACCAACUGAGCUACAUCCCCAACUUAUUUUAAAGAAGAAAGAGUAGGAAAAGAAAACUAAAGAUUAAAAUGAGGGCAAGUUUGAACCUGGUCAUACCUGGCCCUGGCCCUGGCCCACUGUCCCCUCCCCAGUCCCCCAAUGUUACUUCAACAUCUCAGGUUCCCAUUGGAGCUGCCUGGAGGGAGAAUCAUCCUCCUCAUGAGUGAGUCCCAUGGUCCUGGCUCUGAGGAGCUGAGGAGGUGCCACCUUUAAAGGGAAUUGGCCCUCCUCCGGCACAGAUGAGAAUCCCAGGGACAACCCUGCCUGAUUUAAUUAUGAUGGUGCUCAGAAGGGCUUCCCCCAGCACACCAGGGCUGAAGCCUGGGAGACCUUUGGCAGCUAUUUCUGCAGCUUUUUCCCUCCCCUCCCAGCCAUGAGGCGGCAGCUGGGGGUUGCCAUGGAAACCAGCUCAUCUUCCCACUGGAGGCUGCCAGCUCUGAUCUCCUGUAGAGAUAAGAAGCAGGCAGCAGUGGGGGGGGGGUCACCCAGGCAUGAAGAUGGGUUUCCCUGGGGAUACCCAGCCUCCUGCCAAUCACAUUGUCUAUCUGGGAAUCCUGGGGGUGCCUAGAGACCCAGGGCCAGGGAAGCCUCCGAGCCCCAGCACUGCUCCAAGAGAUGAACCCUUGGAACAUCCUGACUCAGGACCUCUUCUGUCCCUCCAGCUAAAGCUAAGGGACCAUGGAUGUGUCUGUGUUUCACAAAUUGCACCAUGCUUGGGUGCACCUGGCUGUCACCUAUCCAGUGCCAAACAGAUCUGUCCCACUGAUACCCCCAAAUCCAAGGAACAAAGAGCAAGCUCCCCAGCAAACAUCUGCUCCUAGAAGUGUGUAGGCUGAGCUCUAUCAGCUUACAAGCUGUGUGACCCCAGGCAAAUCACUCCACCUCUCUGAGCUGACUUUCUCAUCUGGAAAGCUGGCAUAACACCCUGUCUUCUCCAAGAAUCAAUGAGGAAUAGAAAUACAGGUCUGCAGAGCCUGCUGCAGUCUUUAAAGACACUCAGGAAACAGGGUCUAAUAGCAAGUUCAAUGUGAUAUGGAGGCUUUCAAGCCAUGGUCCUCUUUAAGUUCUUUUCCCUAAAAUUGAGGCAAAGGCAGGUUUUCAUCACUGAUCUAUUUGUGCAAAGGCUGCAGCAUCCAGGCAGGGAUGAGCGACCAGUCUGAGGGACCAACUUGCUGGUUCUCACCAUCCUCUAUGCUUGUGCUUCCAAGAGUCAGCCUUUAGGACCAGAAGGGACUAGAGUACAAAAGGGGACCCAGCCAGAGCCUCAUGGCUGACAGGUAGCUUCCCUGCAGCCGUGGCAGCUGCUCUUAGGACCAUGGACACAGCACAGCCAGAAGCAAGACAUUCACAUGAACUCUCCAUAGAUAAUGUGAUACCUACUAUAUUGAUAUAAAACAAAUUAUAUAUAAUUUUUUUAAUGUGUAUGAGCAUUUUUGCCUGCAUGUAUGUAAGGGCACCAUGUGUGUGCAGUAUCUGCAGAGGCCAGAAGAGGGCAUUACAUCCCCCUGGGAUCUAAGUUAAUGGAUAGUUGUUAGCCACCAUGUGGGUGCUGGAAACCAAACCCCAGUCCUCUGCAAGACCUACCUGUGCUCUUACCCACUGAGCCAUCUUUCCAGCCCUAUGCUGAACAAAGCCAUCUGCAGGCUGGCAUGUGCCACAGCAGGAACCUGUGCACCAGGGUGCAGGAAAUAUACUUCCUUGACUGGUUCUCUCCAGAUACGCACAGGGCUCACUCAGUCUUUCUGGGCUCCUCACACCCUGGGUCUUGUCAUAAGGAAAGUCCUGCCACCUGGCACUUGGGACCUCAAAACAGAGGAUUCUGUCUCUCGGAAUGCAACCUGCAUUUUCCCAGGCAUUUAUGUGAAGGGAGAGGAGGGUGGUGUCUCUGUAAUAAUAUGAGGACAGAGCUCACCACAGUGGACACAUUGCUGAAUCCAGAGGGGUCCUCCCAUGGCCCAC